rnacentral:rRNA from 1 species
UACGAAGGGUGCUAGCGUUGUUCGGAAUCACUGGGCGUAAAGCGCGCGUAGGCGGCGUUACAAGUCAGAGGUGAAAUCCCAAGGCUCAACCUUGGAACUGCCUUUGAAACUGUAAUGCUAGAGUGUCGGAGGGGAUGGCGGAAUUGCUAAUGUAGAGGUGAAAUUCGUAGAUAUUAGCAGGAACACCGGUGGCGAAGGCGGCCAUCUGGACGACAACUGACGCUGAGGCGCGAAAGCGUGGGGAUCAAACAGG